CAGCUGCCCUGGAUGUGGAUGUGGAGCCCAGAACGGCUGAUGGAGCCCCGGCAGGCUUCUCAGCUUCCUGGGAGAAAAAUCCUGGGCGAAGGGAUUUUUCAGAAAAUGUGAAUGUGACAUCCCUGCCCAUGGCAUGGCAGGAGGCAGAAGAGCAGGAAGAACAACCCCAGAGCAGCACAGCCAGAGCGAGCCAUACGUGGAGAGCAGGAAGCCAUGGAAAUGUGCCCGGGACAAAAGCAGAAACACCAGCAGCAGGGAGUGGCACAGGGACAUUCCUGCGUGUGGAAAACGCCAAUCACUCGUCUUUAAGAUUUUAAAAGUUUAAUAGCAAUAAAAUGGUUAUAAAAAUAA